GCUUACGGCCAUACCACCCUGAACACGAUCUCCGAUCUCGGAAGCUAAGCAGGGUCGGGCCUGGUUAGUACUUGGAUGGGAGACCGCCUGGGAAUACCAGGUGCUGUAAGCU
rnacentral:rRNA from 1 species